CAUAUUUGAUCCCCACACCCUCUUUCUCGAUCUCUACUGCCAAAACACAUUAACAUAACAACAAAAUCCUCACCAUCUCUCCCUCUCACACAAGAAAACCUUGAUCGGACUCCGGUCACUACUCCGGCCGGUGUUAUCUUAUCGGAUGCACACCUAGCCCAUCUCUUUCUCUCGAUCACAAACCUGGAACCACAAGGGGUGACGUACGGCGACACAAACAGCAGAGAGAGAGAGAUAGAUGCAGCGGCGACGAGUCUCGACGAAGCACAACGGCGACGAUGGCUUUGUUUUAUUCGAUGAGUUUCUCCGUAUUGACUCGUGACAGCAGUGGACGAAUCUCGAGUCCACUCGGUCAGAUUCUUGGUUCGGGUUUGUUUUACGUUUGGUUCGAACUCAGUGGAAUCUCGGUUCAGUUGGGUUCGACGUUUCGGCUUAAGUUCAGUUCAAUAAGUGGAGCAGAUGGGGCUCGAGUCUUGGUACAGUCCCGAGUCAGGUUGUUCGAUUCGGUUCUCGGAUUCGGAAAAAGUAGUGGCAGCGUACAUCUUUUUCUUUUUCCUGGUUAAUAAUUUCCGGACUUGAUUGAUCAACUUGAAUACGUGAAUAACAUACCGAGCAAACCAAAGGUAAUUACUGAAGGAACUUGGGAACUUGCCGUCUGAUGCUGCUGGAGUGGUUAUGGUCAUGAUGAACAUUUAUGUUGAUUGGGUUUCGACACAUUUAUACAUUUAUACUUUUGUGCUUCCGCUCAGUACUUUGGUUUUGGUUUAACUUUCAAA